AGAUUGAGUUUGUGACAGGCACCAAGAAAGGCACGACGACCAACGCCACGGCCACCACCACCACCACGGCCAGCACAGCUGUUGCAGAUGCCCAAAAGAGAAAGAGCAAGUGGGACUCAGCCAUCCCUGUGACAACCAUAGCCCAGCCCACCAUUCUUACCACCACGGCAACCCUGCCGGCUGUCGUCACAGUGACCACCAGUGCCAGUGGCUCCAAGACUACCGUGAUCUCAGCCGUGGGCACCAUUGUGAAGAAGGCCAAGCAGUGACCCAGGGGACCAGCUUGGGGUGGCUCAGACAUUCUCCUUCCAUAGAGGGGAGGAGGCACUCCAGGACUUGAUAAGAUUGCCGCCCAGUGACUGAUGCCCGUGGGGAGGUUCCACAUUGUAUAUUUCAGAACUGGGACCUGCUCCCCAGAGGCCACCCUGAGAGGAACCUCUGUGUGGCAUUCUAGCCAAAAGAAGGACAUUGCCACGGAGGAGUGGGGCGCUGUGGACAGUGUCCUCACACCACUUGGGGUCUGUUGCCCUAUUAAAAGUGCUGUGUUCUUCCAUCUCGGCAUCUCAAAUGCA